UUUAAUUGAAGAGUUUGAUCAUGGCUCAGAUUGAACGCUGGCGGCAGGCCUAACACAUGCAAGUCGAGCGGAAACGAAGAGGUGCUUGCACCUCUGGCGUCGAGCGGCGGACGGGUGAGUAAUGCUUGGGAACAUGCCUUGAGGUGGGGGGCAACCGUUGGAAACGACGGCU
rnacentral:rRNA from 1 species